rnacentral:rRNA from 1 species
UACAGAGGGUGCAAGCGUUGUUCGGAAUUAUUGGGCGUAAAGGGCGCGUAGGCGGUUCGGCAAGUCUCUAGUGAAAUCUCUGGGCUCAACUCAGAGUCUGCUGGGGAAACUGCCGGGCUUGAGUGUGGGAGAGGAGAGUGGAAUUCCCGGUGUAGCGGUGAAAUGCGCAGAUAGUCGGGAGGAACGCCGGUGGCGAAAGCGGGCUGCUGGACCUCUACUGACGGCUGAGGCGCGAAAGCCAGGGGAGCGGAACGGG